rnacentral:rRNA from 1 species
AGGCGGGGCGGGGAACUGAAACAUCUAAGUACCCGUAGGAACAGAAAUCAAUUGAGAUUCCGUCAGUAGCGGCGAGCGAACGCGGAUUAGCCCUUAAGUCUGUGAAAGAUUAGGAGAACGGUCUGGGAAGGCC